UGUCUCCUCAGCCUGCUCCCCUCCAGUGAAGGCGUGGGGAUCGUGGUGUAUCACAGGGUGUCUGUGGUUAGGGGGAGGCUCCAAGGGCAGUCUGCGGGUGUCCUCCAGCUGAUCUUAUGUCCACUUUUCCAAAGAGGCAUGUUCUUGUGGAGCCCUGGAUCUGCAUGGCCCAAGCCACUUCUGGUGGGCGGGAAGUGAUUUGUUAGACCAGGACAGACCACGAGGAGAGACCCAUGGGAGGGUUUGGGCUGAAUCCGCUGGGACCUGAGUCCUGGGAGCAAGCAGGCACGUGAGCAAGUCCGGGCUGGGGAGAGGGACGACAGAGGAAGGAAGAGAAAGCUGACAUUUACAAAAACUGUCAUUUUGGGGAGGAGGUUUGAACUAACACUAAUCGGGAGAUUAAGAAGAAUAAAUAAAUAGAAUAGAAUAAAUAGACUAGAACGUGCCCUUUCUCCCCACUGGCUUAGGGCUGUAGGGACAGUCCUCAGAGAAACGGGACCAUGCCGGGCAGCAGCUGUGGAGCCAACCUGGUCUGUGCUUCACCACAUGCAUGGAGAUGUGGAAGGGUUCAGGACGCAGACAAGCACAUGCAGAGAUUUCUGCUAGCCCAAAGUAACGUGCAGUGACGCUGGGUGGGUGAGAUUAAAAUAUGCCCUUGCCAAACCUUGCCAAAGCCUUGAAGAUUGGCAGAAAAACAGCUACAUUGGGUUUUUCAAAUUGUUACUGACUUCUUGGAGUUCUGAAGUGAUUUAGAAGCAAGCAUUGGGGAAAAAAAAAAAAAAAAAAAAAAAAAAGGAGCCUACCUCUCUUAGUGUAACCUUGAAUGUUACCAACCACUGCUGCUAGAGAGUUGCUGCUCUGCAGCUCCUCCAGUGAUCAGGGAGACCACCCAGAGCAUAAGGCAUUCACUGCCCCGAGGGCAGCAGGACCCACGAGGGGCAGGGGACGAGCAGGUCGGAUGCUGGUGGUGGUUUAGACUCAUGUCCCAGAGGAGGUGUCCAUGAGGAGAAGUGCUUCCACCUGGGGAGCUGUCAGGUCAUGCUGACGCCACUGCCUGCUAACACCGAAGGUUUUUCUGCCCAUGUCAGCCAUCCACAUGAUGCUGGUCUUUUAUUACCAUCUUCUCAGUACUGGUCUGAGGUUGUACACAAACACCUUCUGCCAGUGUCCCACCUGUGUGUGAGGUGCAGGCCAGUGAUGAAACACACGUCCCUACUGCUGGUGACCAAGCACGGCACACCGGUUUGAACAACCCUGUAUUCUCACUGAGUCCUCUUGGACUGCAGUAAUUAAAAAGUAAUGAAUCCUAUUUAAAUGUAGGGCAUUCUGUCCUAAACCUCUGAGCGCCUGUGGGUAUGAGCAUCUUGCUCUGAGGCUGCUCCCCACUCUGCGUACAUGCAGCAGCUUAAACAAAAGGACGCAGGAAGCGCCAGCUACAGAUAUUAUGAAGUUCUGGGUUUUUUUGUUUGUUUGUUCUUGAAUACGUCACAUUCAGGGAUGGCAAAAAUUAAUAGUAAUGAGCUAAUUACUAUACCAGCUGCCUACAAAGAGGGGUCCUGUAGGCAGGCUCCUUCUGCCCGUUUGCCUGCUGGUAAAACCACCACUCUAGAAAACAUAAAACAAAACUUUUUUAUUUUUUUCUCUCCUUUAUAAACAUCUAUCAGCGUCACCUUUCUGUGGCCCACAGCACCAACCCUGCCUGGCUUUUAAGUCCUCAAAAUCCAGCCAGAAUCUCCCCUAGCACAUUAUAACACAUUUUACUAGCUCGAGCAGGGCAAAGCACAGCCGGCUGCCGAGCCUGCUGCCUGCCGAGCUCCCGCGGCUGCCUGCCUCCCGAUGGCCGAAGCCGCUCGCCGUUGCCAGCCCUUUGAAAAGCAAGCCCGCUUCUCUGAUUGAUUCACUUUUUAAUGAACUGGGAAAACCUGUGAACUUAAACCCUGACACCUCCACCUUCCUCCCAUCCUACCCAUCCCUGCAGCAAUGGCCUGAUUAUAUUUCAAGUUAUUACGGGAUUAAUACAGCUGCCCCUGGUGCCUCUUUCCCCUGAACUUCAUCAAUAAAAGUUGUGUACUGCUCUUACUCCGGCUGUUUCAGCUUCUCCGUGGAUCUCCCCAUGCUACCCGUGAUGUCUCAGCAAGGCUGUAUCAUAUCAGCCCUUCAGAGCUGCCAACGCUGCUAGUGGUUAAAGCCUGCUCAUGUCACGGCCUUGCAUAAGCUGUGCGUAUUUAAGAGGACAUCUUGAGCUUUGCUAUGCACGGCAUCAGCUCGCUAAGUGGGUAGGGCAUACUUAGCACUACUGAAAAUAAUGAAAUAAGAUAAUCCACACGUACACAUUAAAGAAAAAAAAAAAAAAGAAGAAGAAAAGAAAAAGAUUCUGGCAGUGUUGUCUUGCUCUGAAACUACCAGAGUUAUAAAAACUCCUCCACAUAGACACUUUCAAUAGAAAGAAAAAAGGCAGGGGGAGCAAAAGACCUGGGCCCAGCACAAAUCCAUUUUUCCCCCACGGCAUUUCUUGAUUCAGUACAAGCUCUAGGUUUACUUCUUUGUGUUGGCGUUAUAGGUUUCCCUCCACCAAGAAUGCUAUUUUCUAAAAACAUCAUUAAAAAUGUAAUUAACUGACUUAUUCUUUGGAAAGUCUGCAGUUGUUUACAAAAAAAUUGCCACACAAGCUGCCACCUUCAACUGUGUUGAAUCGGGAAGUUAUGCUCUUGUUUACAACUGCGCAUCAAUUCCACAAUAUAUUUAGUUUUGGUACAAGUUACAUAUAAAAUUCUUACUGAGCUUAAUGUUGCAGCAAAUAACACAUACAGUAAGCGAGUAGGAUUUAUCACUGGCUGUAAUGUCACAGUACAUAUUCUAAAUAUAUACGGUGAGUGAUAUAUGCACAUGCACAUGCAAACAAAAUGGAAAUAUAUUUAGUUUAAGAAGUGAUGAAUUGUGUUUGCUUUCAUUAUUCUCAUUUUGCAUGUACGAAAAUGGAGAUCAAGCACAUCCACAAAAGCGGUGGCUGGUUGGGAUCGCAUCCGAGAACUGGCAUGCUCGCUGGCUGUUGCUUGCUCUUCAGGAGAGAAGCCAAAGGUGAACAGAGGUGAAGGAGCACCACACGCCGCCUCACCAGGCGAAGGCUUAAACCCACGGCUAUCAUUUCCCAACCAUCAAGCCGAACAGCCCCCUGCAUGCCAAAAAACAUUUUUGUGGACGUAACUAUAGACAUGCGGCUAAAGGCAACACAACAGAACCUGGCUCGUUAAAAAAUACCCACAGAGCGUGGGGAAAAAAUAAAAAUCUUCAACACAGCCUCGUCUGUCUCCAGCAAACAGGGCUUGUUUCAGGCCCUGGGCUCAGGCACAGGCCCGAGCCACGGCGGGUGAGUGAGCUCCUGGCUGUCGGCCGUGCCGGUUUCGCGGAGACUCGCAUGCAGGCAUCGCCCUGCCCUUCACCACUGGCUGGGGCCUGGCUUGGCCGCCUCGCAGGUACUCGUGCCACCCCUUUGCCACCCGGCAUGGCAGCCUGCCUGGCCGCCCCCGGCUGGGAUGGCACAGCGGCUCUGGGACACGGGCCAUCCACCCCCCAAGGAACAUCUCUGAGAGACACCAGCCCUGCGAAAGAAGCCACGCUUAUCUCAUGCAUGCCACAGGUGUGAUGUCAGCCCCUCUGGCAAAGGAACGAGGAUGUCUACAGCCUCCACCGUGCAAAAAUGCAGGAACUGAAGUUAACGUGCCUCAGACUUUGUUAAAAUAUGGUGAUAAUUAAGAAAUAUAAUUACCACUACAAAGUUAA